GACGAACGCUGGCGGCGUGCUUAACACAUGCAAGUCGAACGGAGUGGCGAACGGGUGAGUAACACGUGGGUGACCUGCCCUGCACUUCGGGAGAAUCCUGGGAAACUGGGGCUAAUACCGGAUAGUGUGGGAUGGGCGCGGGGCCUAUCAGCUUGGUGGUGGGGUAAUGGCCUACCAAGGCGGCGACGGGUAGCCGGCCUGAGAGGGUGGACGGACACCUUGGGACUGAGACAGGGAGCAGAGUGCUACGGGGGGCAGUAGUGGGGAAUAUUGCGCAACCGGCGGAAGCCGGAUGCAGCGACGCUGGGGGGGGGAUGAAGGCCUUCGGGUUGUAAACUUCUUUAACCAUAGACGCGGUAGAUGCAGAAGAAGCACCGGCUAACUACGUGCCAGCAGCCGCGGUAAUUC
rnacentral:rRNA from 1 species